GUACACUCCUACGGGAGGCAGCAGUGGGGAAUAUUGGACAAUGGGCGCAAGCCUGAUCCAGCCAUGCCGCGUGAGUGAUGAAGGCCCUAGGGUUGUAAAGCUCUUUCACCGGUGAAGAUAAUGACGGUAACCGGAGAAGAAGCCCCGGCUAACUUCGUGCCAGCAGCCGCGGUAAUACGAAGGGGGCUAGCGUUGUUCGGAUUUACUGGGCGUAAAGCGCACGUAGGCGGACUAUUAAGUCAGGGGUGAAAUCCCGGGGCUCAACCCCGGAACUGCCUUUGAUACUGGUAGUCUUGAGUUCGAGAGAGGUGAGUGGAAUUCCGAGUGUAGAGGUGAAAUUCGUAGAUAUUCGGAGGAACGCCAGUGGCGAAGGCGGCUCACUGGCUCGAUACUGACGCUGAGGUGCGAAAGCGUGGGGAGCAAACAGGAUUAGAUACCCUAGUAGUCCCAU
rnacentral:rRNA from 1 species